rnacentral:rRNA from 1 species
UACAGAGGGGGCAAGCGUUAUUCGGAAUUAUUGGGCGUAAAGGGCGCGUAGGCGGUUCUUCAAGUCUCUCGUGAAAUCCCUCGGCUUAACUGAGGACGUGCGGGAGAUACUGAAGGGCUUGAGUCCGGAAGAGGGUGGUGGAAUUCCCAGUGUAGCGGUGAAAUGCGUAGAUAUUGGGAGGAACACCGGUGGCGAAGGCGGCCACCUGGGCCGGAACUGACGCUGAGGCGCGAAAGCGUGGGGAGCGAACAGG